GGGCCCGCACAAGCGGUGGAGUAUGUGGUUUAAUUCGAUGAUACGCGAGGAACCUUACCAGGGCUUAAAUGUAACGGGACAGAUCUAGAGAUAGAUCCUUCUUCGGACUCAUUACAAGGUGCUGCAUGGUUGUCGUCAGCUCGUGCCGUGAGGUGUCAGGUUAAGUCCUAUAACGAGCGCAACCCCUAUCGUUAGUUGCCAUCAAGUAAAGUUGGGAACUCUAGCGAAACUGCCGGUGCAAACCGUGAGGAAGGUGGGGAUGACGUCAAAUCAUCACGGCCCUUACGUUCUGGGCUACACACGUGCUACAAUGGCCGGUACAGAAAGCAGCCACUAUGCGAAUAGGAGCUAAUCUUUAAAACCGGUCUCAGUUCGGAUCGCAGUCUGCAACUCGACUGCGUGAAGCUGGAAUCGCUAGUAAUCGGAUAU
rnacentral:rRNA from 1 species